UACGUAGGGGGCGAGCGUUGUCCGGAUUUACUGGGCGUAAAGGGUGAGUAGGCGGUUAUAUAUGUCAGGUGUAAAAGGCUAUGGCUUAACCAUAGUUUGCACUUGAAACUGUAUGACUUGAGUGCAGGAGAGGUAAGCGGAAUUCCUAGUGUAGCGGUGAAAUGCGUAGAUAUUAGGAGGAACACCGGUGGCGAAGGCGGCUUACUGGACUGUAACUGACGCUGAGUCACGAAAGCGUGGGUAGCAAACAGG
rnacentral:rRNA from 1 species